rnacentral:rRNA from 1 species
GACGAACGCUGGCGGCGUGCUUAACACAUGCAAGUCGAACGGAAAGGCCCUGCUUUUGUGGGGUGCUCGAGUGGCGAACGGGUGAGUAACACGUGAGUAACCUGCCCUUGACUUUGGUAUAACUUCAGGAAACUGGGGCUAAUACCGGAUAGGAGCUCCUGCUGCAUGGUGGGGGUUGGAAAGUUUCGGCGGUUGGGGAUGGACUCGCGGCUUAUCAGCUUGUUGGUGGGGUAGUGGCUUACCAAGGCUUUGACGGGUAGCCGGCCUGAGAGGGUGACCGGCCACAUUGGGACUGAGAUACGGCCCAGACUCCUACGGGAGGAAGCAGUGGGGAAUAUUGAACAAUGGGAGGAAGCCUGAUGCAGCAACGCCGCGUGCGGGAUGACGGCCUUCGGGUUGUAAACCGCUUUCGCCUGUGACGAAGCGUGAGUGACGGUAAUGGGUAAAGAAGCACCGGCUAACUACGUG